rnacentral:rRNA from 1 species
CACGUAGGGGGCAAGCGUUGUCCGGAUUUAUUGGGCGUAAAGAGCUCGUAGGCGACUCAGUAAGUCGGGUGUGAAACCUCCAGGCUCAACCUGGAGACGCCACCCGAUACUGCUGUGGCUUGAGUCCGGUAGGGGAGCGUGGAAUUCCUGGUGUAGCGGUGAAAUGCGCAGAUAUCAGGAGGAACACCGGUGGCGAAGGCGGGUCUCUGGGCCGAUACUGACGCUGAGGAGCGAAAGCGUGGGGAGCGAACAGG